CCAUACCAAACUGUUGCCUCGGCGGGGUCACGCCCCGGGUGCGUCGCAGCCCCGGAACCAGGCGCCCGCCGGAGGGACCAACCAAACUCUUUCUGUAGUCCCCUCGCGGACGUUAUUUCUUACAGCUCUGAGCAAAAAUUCAAAAUGAAUCAAAACUUUCAACAACGGAUCUCUUGGUUCUGGCAUCGAUGAAGAACGCAGCGAAAUGCGAUAAGUAAUGUGAAUUGCAGAAUUCAGUGAAUCAUCGAAUCUUUGAACGCACAUUGCGCCCGCCAGUAUUCUGGCGGGCAUGCCUGUCCGAGCGUCAUUUCAACCCUCGAACCCCUCCGGGGGGUCGGCGUUGGGGAUCGGGAACCCCUAAGACGGGAUCCCGGCCCCGAAAUACAGUGGCGGUCUCGCCGCAGCCUCUCCUGCGCAGUAGUUUGCACAACUCGCACCGGGAGCGCGGCGCGUCCACGUCCGUAAAACACCCAACUUCUGAAAUGUUGACCUCGGAUCAGGUAGGAAUACCCGCUGAACUUAAGCAUAUCAAUAAGCGGAGGAA
rnacentral:rRNA from 1 species